CAACGAUGAAGAACGCAGCGAAAUGCGAUACGUAGUGUGAAUUGCAGAAUUCCGCGAAUCAUCGAGUCUUUGAACGCAAGUUGCGCCCGAGGCUUGUCCGAGGGCAUUUCCGCUAGAGCGUCACC
rnacentral:rRNA from 1 species